CACGCGCCUGCGUGAGUGUGAGGGGCAGGACAGACAGACAGCCCGCCGGACCCGUCCUCCAGCCGCGCCGCCCGGCCUGCCGCCGACCGCGUCCCCUCGCCUCGCAGGCAGCCGGGACUUGGCUGCAGCCGGGAGCACAGCCGGGAGCGAAAUAUCCAGACUCCAAGUCUUCAAGCCACAUUCACCUUUUCCUCUCCGACCUCCAUUUGGAACCCAUUGCUAUAAGACAGAGGCGAUCUCUGGUAUUUCUCCCAUCCAUUUGCUUUUAUUGGAACCUCUUUCAUUAAGUUUGAUGAUUUGUGAGACACCAAAGCAAAAAAGAAUGUACCUGUGA
rnacentral:lncRNA from 1 species